rnacentral:rRNA from 1 species
GACAGAGGUGCCAAGCGUUAGGCGGAAUCACUGGGCUUAAAGCGUGUGUAGGUGGAUUUGUAAGUACCUUGUGAAAUCCCAUGGCUCAACCAUGGAACUGCUCGGUAUACUGCGAAUCUUGAGCCACUUAGGGGCUACCGGAACAAAUGGUGGAGCGGUGAAAUGCGUAGAUAUCAUCUGGAACGCCAAUGGUGAAAACAGCUCGCUGGGGGUUUGCAGACGCUGAGACACGAAAGCCAGGGGAGCGAACGGG